rnacentral:rRNA from 1 species
GACGAACGCUGGCGGCGUGCUUAACACAUGCAAGUCGAACGGAAAGGCCCUGCUUUUGUGGGGUGCUCGAGUGGCGAACGGGUGAGUAACACGUGAGUAACCUGCCCUUGACUUUGGGAUAACUUCAGGAAACUGGGGCUAAUACCGGAUAGGAGCUCCUGCUGCAUGGUGGGGGUUGGAAAGUUUCGGCGGUUGGGGAUGGACUCGCGGCUUAUCAGCUUGUUGGUGGGGUAGUGGCUUACCAAGGCUUUGACGGGUAGCCGGCCUGAGAGGGUGACCGGCAACAUUGGGAUUGGAAUACGGCCCGGACUCCUAGGGGGGGAAGCAGUGGGGAAUAUUGCACAAGGGGCGGAAGCCGGAUGCAGCAACGCCGGGGGGGGGAUGACGGCCUUGGGGUUGGAAACCGCUUUCGCCUGGGACGAAGGGGGGGUGACGGUAAUGGGGAAAGAAGCACCGGCUAACUCCGU